rnacentral:rRNA from 1 species
AAUCAACGCUGGCGGCGUGCCUAACACAUGCAAGUCGCACGAGAAAGGGCAGCAAUGCCUGAGUACAGUGGCGCACGGGUGAGUAACACGUGAAUGAUCUACCUCCGAGUGGGGAAUAACUGAGAGAAAUCUUAGCUAAUACCGCAUAACACUUACGAGUCAAAGCAGCAAUGCGCUUGGAGAGGAGUUCGCGGCAGAUUAGUUAGNGGCGGGGUAAUGGCCCACCAAGACGAUGAUCUGUAUCCGGCCUGAGAGGGCGCACGGACACACUGGAACUGAACACGGUCCAGACUCCUACGGAGGCAGCAGUGGGGAAUUUUGCGCAAUGGGGAAACCCUGACGCAGCAACGCCGCGUGGAGGAUGAAAUCCCUUGGGAUGUAAACUCCUUUCGAUCGGGAAGAUAAUGACGGUACCGAGAGAAGAAGCCC